CUUCCUUUUGCAGUCCUAUAGCCCUUUCCAGAACUUUUUUAGAGGCAUUUUUGUGCCCAAACAUUGGGGUCCCCAUUGACUUCAAUGGUGUUCGGGUUCGGGGUCAAGUUUGAUCCCGAACCCGGACUUUAUUUCGAAGUUCGGCUUAACCCGCCGAACCCAAACAUCCAGGUGUCCGCUCAACUCUAGUUAUUUACCCUUUAGAUUCGUCUCAAGUUCCC